UGAGCCCUGUUUUUUAGUUUACAUUUUGGCCAUAUUGCGUUAGCUGUUAGCAGUUUCUGUUGGAGCUUUAACCAUGGAUGUACACACAUCAGUGACACGGAUGACAAUUAUACGAAUGAAAACGUCUGAAAUGACGCUUGUGAGACAAGAUUUGAAGUUUCAAGAAGUCCAUUUUUGUAAGGCUUUGGAGUGGAUUCGUCGAUGCUUCUCCUUUAAUGACAUCGGAAAAUAUUGGAAAUAAUGUACGACUGAGAAGAGUGAAGACUGUGUGGCGUUGUGGGCGAUGCUGAGUCCAUCCUGUUAGACCUGAGUCUACCUGUGGUUUAAUUUAUAAACUUCCUAAAUUUCCUGGAAUAUUCGGCACACCUCGUCAUACAGGACAGCCUUAGUGUGGUCUUGUCCAGCCCCAGUACCAACGCCGGAGUUCUGGAAAUCAUAGCUGGAUGCCAGGGAUUCAUGCUGGUUGUCCAUAAUGUUCAGCAGCCUGUCCUAUGCUGUGGAGAUGGCGUGAGCAUGGAGCACAUGGUCCACCAUUUUCAUGCCAGAUGCAACGGUGCAACUCCUGUUCUGUAUUUGGAUCAGUUGGUGGAUGCUCUUGCUGAGUUCCAAAACGAAAUUGUCCUCCAGCAGAGGUGGUGGUUAUGGUGCAAUGCUGCAGCAAUUUCUGCGGAGGUCCCCGGGUUUCAUCUGUCAUGCACAAACCCAGAACAUGCACCUCUGGAUGAUGAAGACUGGUUCUGCAGCGAGGCAUAUGAGCAGAAUGGAUCAUAUAAAUCGAUUGUUACUGCUACUAAAGUCAAAGAGGGUGGGGUGGGCACCGGGUACACUGUGUACUUGUAGACAGCUGCAGUUGAUUUGAGGGGUACCAUGUUCAGUGUCUCGUGAAAAGGAUGGCAUUAGACAGUGUAAUGGAGGUCUCUUUAAUACAAUUUAUAAGCUAAGGAAUGCACCACAUAUAAAUUAGUGAUUACCAAGGUUAAUUGCAGAUAUACAGUGACAGAAAGGCAUGAAAUGUGAAAAAAAUACUGUCAUUGUAAAUGAUGUGUGUACCACAGCAUAAUCGUGCUGCUCUGACGUUUCUUGUAAAUGCAGAAAAUGAGGACCAGAUCCAAAGAUUUUUUCAAAGCUGUCGCUGAAGAACGAUUCUGCCACCUGGCCAGACAUCACACUGUGUGGGUGGGUGAUGGUGAUGACAGAGUUCUAGGAAAUGAACCUAAUUUGUUUUUGGGACAGCAUCAAUUUUUGACUGGUAAGACUUGUGAACCUAGACUUUAUACAUUUUUAAUAAUUUGAAAGAUGUGUUCAUUAAGUAACAGUAACAAAAUUGUCUUGUAAUAUAUGAUAGAGGGCUUAAACAAGGAUAAUGACAUACAGUAUAAUCUGAGAUGUAAGUGGGUAGCAAACCUGCAAGGUUAACUGGGAGGAAAUAUUGGUUUAGACUUUAGUGAAUAAGAUGACGAAAAAUUUGUUCAAAGGUUUGAAUUUCAAUGCAUUCAGUGUUUGAUGCAUGAUACUUGAACCAGCGUCUGAAUGAAAAUAAAAGAUUCUUUAUUCUUCA